GGUUGGAUGGGCAGAGAAGAGACAAUGAACUUGGAAUGUUUCACUUAUGGGACUCCUUCACCAAAAAAAAAAAGUUUCACUUAUGGGACUCCUUCACCAAAAAAAUAAAUGUUUCACUUAUGGGACUUGUUUUCCCUACUUCCAUUAGGGAAGUCAUUUUCCUCAUUUUUAAAGAACUUGUUUUCCUAGAGAAAAUGUUUUCCAAGAGAAAAUGUUUUUCAAAAUAUUUUGACCAACCAAAUAUAAGAAAAUGGGAAACGUUUUUCCUCCAUACCAAACACACCCUAAAAGUAAGUUAAGGAGCAAAGAAAAGAUAAUGGAAGAAAAAUAUGCCAAAAAUAGUUUUUGCUUAAGUGUGGGUUAGGCGAAUGUCUCAGGAUCGAAUUCUGCAAUAGAAAAAAAGCUUUGUAUUUAGGUGGAGAAGGGUAGAAGGGUGGGGCCAUUAUCCAUUGAGUUUCAAACCAUGCGCCUCUGGCCUGUGGGAUUUGUCGGUUACCAAGAAAAAAGAGUCUUUGCUUGGUGCAGCAACACAUAUGUUUACAGUUAUCAACUGAGCCUUCAUCUCUUUUGCUCCCUUGCUACUUAUACCGAUUGACUUUCUUUUUCAAGGGGUUCUUUUCGGGCAAAACUGUUAUUCCAGUACUCAUGGAAAAGGGAUUAUCAAUCUCGGUUGCAUCGUUUUCACCCUUUGCCACAAAUCCCGCACCUGCAUAUACCUUAAACAUCUUUUGUUCCCAAAUCUGAUACUUUUUUACCACCAUUGUUGAAGUAAAACAAAAAAGCAAACAUUUAUUAGUGGAUAAUAGAACCAAGACUGACGAACCUAGAAUUAGAUCAGACAAUAAUUCUCAUGAAAUAUAGCUUCCAUAGCUAUUCAGAUUUAUUUUAUUACACGACAUAACUUGGUUUUCAGACUUGAUUUUGAAAAGAAAGCUUUAAUUAUACUUGACUAUAUUUUGUUUUCACCAAUAUAGGGUGUGCUUUGUGUUAUAUGACUUAGGUGUUGUUUGGUUUGAAUUUGGUAUUGGGUUUAUAUGACUGAUGGGUUUUGUCUUGAGCAUUAGGUUUAUUUCUGAGGGUAAGUGGCUGGAUGUUGCAACUCAAGGGACCACCAUCUGAGUUGCAACUCAGGGCCCUUUCAAAAUCUCCAGCCUCUUUUGGCUCUAUUGGCCUCCUCCACCGAGUGAAAUUAAAAUAAAAUCAACCCAUGGCCGAGAUCAGGAAUACCAGUGGACAGGCUCCAUGAAUUAAAUGUUCACUUUUGCAGCUCAGUAGAAACCUUAAAGUCCCCACAGUGUAGAUCUUCCACCAUGCAUAUUUUAAGAGUAGCAAUUCUGAAUUUUGUUAUUUCUUUUAACACCAUUCUAUUAAAUCCAUUCUGGAAAAUACGUUUACCUGAUCAGAAAAAAUUAAAUCCAUUCUGAUCCAACUUGCAUUGAAUAUGCUCUGCUGGCCAAUUCAAACCCUUGACAACACUCGUGUAGCUCUUGGAAUGCUUUUGAAUUGCAGGACUGGAGUUGGUGUGGUCUUUUUACAACAAACCUCCAUUCUUUGUCUCUGCUAUACCUGAACCUCCAGCAUUUAGUGAGAAUGAUGAACCUUUUUCUUGUCUUUGCGUGGUGCUAAUUCUCAAGUUUGGUGAAGUUCUGACAAAUGCAGCUUUCUCUCAAUUCGCUCAUACCAAAAAUCAUGUUCAGUGGCUUUUUCUUUAAUCUCAAAAGACUUCUGGCCAACCAUAACAAGGGGUGUUGUAUCCAUCAAUGAGGGAAAGCAACCAGUUUUUUUAAGAUCACAAGUAAGAUUAUCUAGCGAAAAGUGGUCAGUGAGGUUAGGUUUGUGGGGAGGUGAAAGAUGGAGGAGAAAGUGUAGUGUGGGAUUGGAAGGUUAAUCGGAGGGGAAGAGAAGAUAAGGCUUCUCUCUCAUGCUCUAAAACGAUUUCUUUCGAAGUGCAUGUGAGGUUUUUUACUGGCCUCAUAGAAUAUUUUAAUGAUUCUUUUUCAUUCCAACCAUUCUACUGCAUAGAGUAAUAUUUAAACAAUAGACAUCUUAUCAACACCCAAAAAUCUAAAUCUCCCCCACGCUCCGGAAUGUAAAUUGUGUUUCUUUAGUGAUGCUUGAUAAAGCUCAACCAAGUAUUUUGGCGUACGAAAGGUACAUGACCGGUGUCCUCUUCCACUGCAUCGAUAACAUCUAUUUUUUUAGCCAUUUGUUUCUACCACUUCGUGCUUCUCAUCCUUCUUUUUCCCCUUUUGGUGGUGAUUCUUUGAUGAAUGAUUAGCCCCAAGGGGAAGAAUUUUUUACGACCAUGACAAUGACUAGGGCCAUGACCUUUUCCACGCUCAGAGUAGUGGGCUGCACCUCAUUCACUUCAGGGAACGGUGUAGAGCCAGUUAGUUGAUUUUCAUGAUUUUUCAUUAACAAAUUAUUGGUUUCUUCAGCCACGAGAAGAUGAGAAUUCAAUCCAGAAUGCUUCUUGAAACCUUUCUCCCGACAUUGCUGCUGCAGGAGCACAAUCAAUGCAUGAAAGAUGGGGCCAAUCGUACCGUGCUUUUGGGAGGAUGAUCAUCUUCAGUUGGUCAUACCUUUCUUUCAAGUUAUUCCACAAAACAAGUGGAUCAUUAAUGGUGAGAUAUUCAAUUUUCAAAACUUCAUGCAAUAAUAUCAUUGCUUUAGAGCAAUCUUGGUUGGAUAUUUUAUUUUUGGACUUAAUGGUGUCUCCAAGACCCAUUGCAUCCAAACGAAUUUCAGCAUGCAACACCCAUGAGAGGUGGUUCUUCCGAAAUAUCAAGGGCAACAAACUCAAGUUUUGUAAGAUUAGCCAAUGAUUAGAGAGAAGAAAAAGUAGUCUUUAAAUUAAUUUUUGAGACGGUAGAGCGUCGUGCUGAUAACGUGUUAUAAAACAAAGAUAAUAUAGAAAGAACCAUGUAUUUUGGAACUACUAAUAGAAAGGGAAGACAUAUAUUAGGAAGAGAAUCGUUCCUUUUCUUUUCGGUGUAUCAAAUGAGAAGGCAAAACUUCCUAUUUAUAGAAAAAUUUUGCCGCUCAACAUACAACAUACAACUUGUGCAAGUUGAUCUACAACUUGGAUACAACUAAGAUACAACUAAGGUACAACUUUCAAGUACAAGUUGUAUUAUCAUUUUAAGUACAAAUGGUACAAUUUACGUUUACAUGUGGGGGUACUGUCAUAUCUUGCCGAUCUACAAAGCAUUCUAUUAUGGCUACUUCAUCAAAUCAUGCUGAGAUAAUAGCUAUUCAUGAAGCAAGCUGAUAAUGUGUGUGGUUGAGGUAAAUGAUACAUCUCAUUCGAGAAAAAUCUGAUUUGAAAUGUGACAAAAUACCUACAACUUAUAUGAAGAUAAUGCAGCAUGCAUAUCCCAAUUAAGAGGAGGAUUCAUAUAAGUAGAUAGAACAAAGCACAUUCCACCAGAGUUUUUCUUCACACACGAUCUCCAAUAGAAUGUUGAUAUCAACGUAUAGCAGAUUCGCUCAAGUGAUAAUUUAGCGGAUCUGUUCAGGGGAGUAAAAUACGCGCUGUACUCUUUUUUCCUUAACCAAAGUUUUAUUGGGUUUUACUAGUAAGGCUUUUAAUGAGACAGCUAAAAAUGUGUAUUACUAGAUAUGUGCACUCUUUUCUUUUUACUAGAAUUUUCCAUAGGUUUUUUUCUAGUAAGGCUUUAACGAGGCACAUUAUCUAUUAAUGAAACAUCCCGGGGGAGUGUUAUGAACUAUUUUGACAAGUUGUAUUUUGGAUGUAUUAUUAAUAGAUAAAACUAGAAGUUUAAAUUGUACCACUUGUACUUAAAGUGACAAUAUAACUUGUAAUUGAAAGUUAUUGUUAUUGUGUCAAAUAUAACUUGUAAUUGAAAGUUGUAUCUUAGUUGUAGCCAAGUUGUAGAUCAACGUGCACAAGUUGUAUGUUGUAUGUUGAGAGGCAAAAUUUUCUAUAAAUAGGAAGUUUUGCCUUCUCAUUUGAUACACAAAGAAAAAGAAGGAAAGAAGAAAACACUCUCUAGAAGGAAAGAAGAAAACACUCUCUUCCUAUUACUAGUUCUAGUUAAUUACACAGUUCUUUCUAUAUAGAAUCUUUUUAUAAUAAAAUGUGUAUAAACUUUGGAAUAAGUUUUUGGUUCAAGCCAAUUGGCUCUUAUGAUAAAACUAGAAGCAACAAGUCACUUUAAAUACAUUCUUUACCCUUAACAACAUUAAGCCUAACAUACAAGACUAGUCCUUGUGAGAAAUUAUGAGAGAAAUAUUAUUAUUGAAUUGUGUAUCUACAUUAUUACAUUGAGCCCUAUUUAUAGAUACUAAAUCCCAAUCCUUUUUCACGUAGGAUACUAUAUACAAAUCUUAUUCAUAUUCUAAUACUCCCCUUCAAGCUGGUGCAUACAAGUCAUAUGUACCGAGCUUGUUACAAAUGUAACUAAUACGUUAUAGAUGUAACUAAUACGAGGACAGGUGAGAGACUUGGUGAAAAUAUCUGCAAGCUGAUCACUCGACCUCACAAAUUUUGUAACAAUAUCUCUGGAGACCAUCUUUUCUUCGACAAAGUGACAGUCAAUGUCAAUGCGCUUAGUCCUAUCAUAAAAUAGUGGAUUUGAUGCGAUAUGAAGGGCCGCUUUGUUAUCACGCACAAGUUAGUUCCAUCUGACUAAUUUCUCCAAAUUUUAAUUCUCGGAGCAACUGCUUAAUCCAAACUAGCUCACAAGUUGCUACAACCAUUGCACGAUAUUCUGAUUCUGCACUAGAUUGAGCAACCACACUUUGUUUCUUACUCUUACAAGAUACCAAAUUACCUCCUGCUAAAACACAAUAUUCGGAUGUAGUGUCUAUAAAUAGGGCUCAAUGUAAUAAUGUAGAUAGACAAAUCAACAAUAAUGUCUCUCAUAAUUUCUCACAUGAUAUCAGAGCAGGACCUAUCCCAAUUAUUAUUUCCCGAUAGUCGGCCCCAUAUUAAGAUUGCUCACGCACCAGAUGUCCAGCCCUGGGCGUGAGGUGGGGUGUUAAAAUAUCCCAGAUCGGUGGUUUAAGGGAUGGGUGGACUUCUUAUAUGAACUUGGGCAGUCCUCCCCUCGUGAGCUAGCUUUCGGGGUUGAGUUAAGCCGAAGAUCCAUUUCUUUACGGUCCUAAAAAGAUUUUAGAAAUUAAUGUUGAUUCUACAGUAGUGGAGUAGUGGAGAUUGACAUGAAGGGUAAGCCUAUGGAUAAAUUUCAGAAACUCAAAAGUUAUCAUCAGAAAGUUAUCUUUCUCAAAAUGUUCAUCAUGAAGAGGAGAUGCAAAAUUUUUGCCAAAUAAAAGCAGAAGCUUCACAAGGUAAAGAUUUGGUGAACUUGGAAAACUUCUCCAAAAGUACCUAGAUAGAAGCUGUCAUGCUCCUAAACAAAUUCUUUGAAAGUACAUGGGAGGUUGUUUAUUGGCCUAUUAGAAUAUUUUAGUGAUGCUUUCCAUCUUUCAUGAUCUGAGAUCCCACGAGCUUUGCAUUUAUAUACUAGUCAGGGAAAGGUGUAUAUUAAAGAAAUGUCAUUGAAGUCAAAUGUGAGGUAUCAAAUACUGCUUGCAUCCCAAUUUAUGUGGUGGUGUUUGAUUGGGCACAAUUUUUUUUGGAAAAACUACUUUUGAAACUUGUGGUCUAAGAUAAACCAUAGACAUUUGUGUCUAUAAAUCAUCUCAUUAAGGGUAAAAUGAGAAGUUUAAAGUUACAAUGUUAAUAUAGAAUUGUCAUUUUUUUUGGAUAAACUCGAAAGGAAAGUGUCCACAUAAAAUGGGACGUAGAGAGUUGUAAAAAGGAAAAAGGACAUGGUGUAAAAUUCCGCAAAGUGAAGACACUAGGAAACAUGUCGUAAGGAAUCCUAAUUUUUUAAGUUAAACUUCUUUAAAUUGUCAAGUAAUUUGCCAUUUAUUUGGCCUUAGGUUGAAUAAACUCAAUUAUUUCUGAAAGCUGUGUGGGUUCGUUUACAGUGAGCUAUAUUGGCUGUGUAACUUUGAUAACUUGAUUUUCUCUCCUAUCGACCAUUAAAGUGUAGCCUAAUGAUCCGGGUUUUGUCCUCGAGACUAGGAGAUCCUUGGUUCAAAUGCUACCCAAAUUGUGGUACUUAUAGUUAAAUAUGUUUAACAAAUCACUUGUAUGCAGGUGUUUGUUCUAUCAGUUUGUGGUUCAAAUAGCAGUAUAAGCAUCAGGCAAGAAAAAGUAAUGUAACCGGUGAUGCUGAUUAAAACAAAGUCCCUUUAUAGUCGUAACCUACAAAAACAAGAACAAAUAAGGCAAUUAAUAUUUUCAACUUUUUUCAUUUUAUUAUGGAUUUUGAACAUUUCAGACAUAAAUGCCUUAAGCCGCCUAUUGCUUCUGAAAAUGUUCAAAAUCCAUUUUUUUUUUUUUUUACUUUGUUAAAAUGGGAUGGGAACAUUUUGGUAAGCAGUGCAUGAAAAUAACGUGAAGUUUAUAUCUAAAACCAGGGGAACCCUUUUAGAAACUCUGUAUGAAGAGUAGAAGUGUACUACAAUAUCAAAGGCUCAAACAAAACUGAUGGAGAACGAAUCGAAUCGAAUUGUCCCUAUGUUUUCAAUCAUGAUGAAAUAGAAUCAAGUUUUUGCUUCAUGUUUGCGUCUGUAUGCUUUAAGGUGUAGGCAUUGUGAAAGUUACUAUUCUGGGCUCUGAUUUUGUUGGAGUGGCUUUCUUUUAUGCUAUGUGUAGUCUAUCAGUAUAUUCUUUGGACUUAUAUUUUUCCUUGUCCUAAUCUCAGUUGAACUUUGUAGUCUAUCGGUAUAUUCUUUGGACUCUUACAA